GAGGUUGUAGUUCAGUGGAAGAGUGCUUGCCUAGCACGCAGGAGGUACUGGGUUCGCUCCUCAGAACUUCA
rnacentral:tRNA from 1 species